rnacentral:rRNA from 1 species
CCUACGGGUGGCUGCAGUAAGGAAUAUUGGUCAAUGGACGCAAGUCUGAACCAGCCAUGCCGCGUGAAGGAUUAAGGUCCUCUGGAUUGUAAACUUCUUUUAUAUGGGACGAAAAAAGGGUAUUCUUACCCGUCUGACGGUACCAUAUGAAUAAGCACCGGCUAACUCCGUGCCAGCAGCCGCGGUAAUACGGAGGGUGCAAGCGUUAUCCGGAUUCACUGGGUUUAAAGGGUGCGGAGGCGUGCAGGGUGAAAUCCUAGAGCUUAACUCUAGAACUGCCAUUGAUACUAUCUGUCUUGAAUAUUGUGGAGGUAAGCGGAAUAUGUCAUGUAGCGGUGAAAUGCUUAGAUAUGACAUAGAACACCUAUUGCGAAGGCAGCUUACUACGCAUAUAUUGACGCUGAGGCACGAAAGCGUGGGGAUCAAACAGGAUUAGAUACCCUAGUAGUC